rnacentral:rRNA from 1 species
UACGAAGGGGACUAGCGUUGUUCGGAAUCACUGGGCGUAAAGCGCACGUAGGCGGUCUUUUAAGUCGGGGUGAAUCCUGGGGCUCAACUCCAGAACUGCCUUCGAUACUGGAAGACUUGAGUCCGGGAGAGGUGAGUGGAACUGCGAGUGUAGAGGUGAAAUUCGUAGAUAUUCGCAAGAACACCAGUGGCGAAGGCGGCUCACUGGCCCGAUACUGACGCUGAGGUGCGAAAGCGUGGGGAGCAACAGG